rnacentral:rRNA from 1 species
UGAYUGAKGGCGAGCAGCCUUCUGGCAUCAUACUGACACUGAGGCUCGAAAGCGUGGGUAGCAAACAGGAUUAGAUACCCUGGUAGUCCACGCCGUAAACGAUGUCUACUAGUCGUUGGGUCCCUUGAGGACUUAGUGACGCAGCUAACGCAAUAAGUAGACCGCCUGGGGAGUACGGCCGCAAGGUUAAAACUCAAAUGAAUUGACGGGGGCCCGCACAAGCGGUGGAGCAUGUGGUUUAAUUCGAUGCAACGCGAAGAACCUUACCUGGUCUUGACAUAUCUAGAAUCCUGCAGAGAUGCGGGAGUGCCUUCGGGAAUUAGAAUACAGGUGCUGCAUGGCUGUCGUCAGCUCGUGUCGUGAGAUGUUGGGUUAAGUCCCGCAACGAGCGCAACCCUUGUCCUUAGUUACCAGCGGGUUAAGCCGGGAACUCUAAGGAUACUGCCAGUGACAAACUGGAGGAAGGCGGGGACGACGUCAAGUCAUCAUGGCCCUUACGACCAGGGCUACACACGUGCUACAAUGGUAGGUACAGAGGGCAGCUACACAGCGAUGUGAUGCGAAUCUCAAAAAGCCUAUCGUAGUCCAGAUUGGAGUCUGCAACUCGACUCCAUGAAGUAGGAAUCGCUAGUAAUCGCGGAUCAGAAUGCCGCGGUGAAUACGUUCCCGGGCCUUGUACACACCGCCCGUCACACCAUGGGAGUUGAUUGCACCAGAAGUGGUUAGCCUAACCGUAAGGAAGGCGAUCACCACGGUGUGGUUGAUGACUGGGGUGAAGUCGUAMAAAAGGKUAACCAU